rnacentral:lncRNA from 1 species
UCUCAAACUCUUGACCUCAAGCGAUCCUCUCACCUCGGCCUCCCCAAGUGUUGGAAUUACAGAUGCCACUGUGUCCACCCAGUGGUGCCCUGUUAAUUAAUGACCCUUGUUAUCAAUUAAGUUCCCCUUUGUUGUCCUGCCUUGCUUAGAUCAGAUAACAGAAAAACCAUGACUAUUACACCCUUUGUAAAAAAUGUUAAAUGUGCCCUUCUCAUAGAGAAACAUUGCCUAUAAGCAACUUGCUGUAAUGAUGUGCCAACCUUUUAUGAAAAAUGUUGUAAUCCUGAUAAAAACACCUCUGUCUUUGCUUAUAUACACGCAAAGACAGAGGAGUCUAAAUGUAUGUAUUUAUUUAGAGACAGGGUCUCACUCCAUUUUCUGGACAGGAGUAAAAUCCACUCCACUUGCACCCCCAGGGCCGGGCAGGUGACGCUUUGGCCCCUACCUGGGAGACACUAGAGCUCACACUGUGGGCACCUCUGGAGCUGACUGGGGAGAUUCUCCUGAAUCCUCGGCUCCCGCUGGGUCUGGACACCCUGUGGCUUCCCGAUCACAGGAUGGCUUCACACCUCUUCCGCUGUCCUGGGCCCUUGCACUGAUUCACAUCUAGAAGGGGACCAGGUCAUGGAGCAACCCUCAGUCCGUGUCUCGACUCUAGACUCACAGGGUCAGCUGUAACAUUGUGGCUGUGUGAGUGUGGGAGGGUGAGGACGACCCCAGGAGUGUCCUGCAAUUUCCUAUUUGCCAAAGAAGCCUCCAUUCUGGAGGAGAGAGGGACCGAGGGUGGAGGGAGCAUCGGUCCUCUCCUGGCUCUCAAAGGACCUGGCAUCAAAUCCACCAUGACACAUACCCUGUCUGGGACCUGUCUCGCUCCAGGGCCCAGCAUGUCUCUGCAGGAAGGCAGGGCAUCCCACGAUAUCACCAGCUCCUCUAGGAGUAUAGGAGCCAAGGAGCUGCUGAGACCUGCUGAUCACCCACUCACUCCCCUCCAGCCACCCCAGAGCCAUGGCUCCCGAGGCCACAUCUUGGCUGUCUUGGCGUCUCUCUGCAUCCUCAGCCUUCUCUGAUCAUGUGGAGCCCCCAGUGGCCCCCAUGGGUGCUUAUCUGAUGCUGUGCCAGCCACAGGCAAGAUGUGGGGACACGUUCUGUGACCCUCUGCAGCACUGCUACUAUGACAAUGCCAUCCUGCCCUCGGAUGGGACCCAGAGGGGUGGAACUGCACCUUCAGAGUCUGCUUCGAGAAGUGCUGCCCCUGGUCCCUCAGUCCCCCAGCGUCCCUCAUGGUGAAGAUGAAAGGCCAGAAGUGCUCCUUGACCCUGACCUCAGAUAACAGGCUUUGUCACAGGUGAGGUCCUGUCUCCUCCAUGAGAUUGUGGGUCCUGGGGGGCUGCAUGCCUGUUCUGCCCUGAGUAGAGCCCCCAUUCUCUGUGUCUGUCCUCCUGCCUCUAGUCAAUCCACCUCCCCCUUUCCCUACAGUUGUAUUUCUUCCUCCCUUCGUUUUUAUUUUCCUCUCACAACCUCACUCUCUCAACAUUGCUGGCCUCUCCUCCUGGCUCUCCUGUCCUCCUUUCUGCACUGUUCAGUCUCUCCCCCAUCUCUGGCCUGCUCAGUGUCUCUGUCUUCAGUGUCAGCUCAGACUGGAGGGCAGUGGCUCAAUCACAGCUCACUGCAGCCUCAACCUCCCAGACUCAAGCGAUCCUCACACCU